rnacentral:rRNA from 1 species
CACGUAGGGGGCGAGCGUUGUCCGGAAUCAUUGGGCGUAAAGAGCUCGUAGGCGGCUCGGUAAGUCGGGUGUGAAACCCCCAGGCUCAACCUGGGGACGCCACCCGAUACUGCUGUGGCUAGAGUCCAGUAGGGGAGUGUGGAAUUCCCGGUGUAGCGGUGAAAUGCGCAGAUAUCAGGAAGAACACCAGCGGCGAAGGCGGCACUCUGGGCUGGAAUUGACGCUGAGGAGCGAAAGUGUGGGUAGCAAACAGG